CAUGGCUCAGAUUGAACGCUGGCGGCAUGCCUAACACAUGCAAGUCGAACGGGAGUGAGGGGCAACCCUUGCUUCAGUGGCGGACGGGUGAGUAAUGCGUAGGAAUCUUCCCUAGAGCGGGGGACAACCCGGGGAAACUCGGGCUAAUACCGCAUAAUCUCUAAGGAGCAAAGAAGGGGACCCUUCGGGGCCUUUCACUUUAGGAUGAGCCUACGUCGGAUUAGCUAGUUGGUGAGGUAAAGGCUUACCAAGGUUACGAUCCGUAGCUGGUCUGAGAGGACGGCCAGCCACACUGGGACUGAGACACGGCCCAGACUCCUACGGGAGGCUGCAGUGGGGAAUAUUGGACAAUGGGGGAAACCCUGAUCCAGCAAUGCCGCGUGUGUGAAGAAGGCCUUCGGGUUGUAAAGCACUUUUAGUGGGGAAGAAAGGCUUAAGGGUUAAAUACCCUUGAGUGUUGAACGGUUUCCCACAAAAAAGCAACCGGCAAAAUUCUGUC
rnacentral:rRNA from 1 species